rnacentral:lncRNA from 1 species
AGUUUAGAAAAAUAGCAUGCACCGGACAAACAUGCGUGUAAAUGAUCGAACGUGAUGAUGGUGACGGCACAUUUUAUGCCCAUGCUUGAUUUCUGUCUCUGCUCCCUCUCUCUACCCCUUCCCCCUCUCCUGCUCUCUGACGUUAAAUGCUUCGUUGCUCAAGGCCGCAGUUACAGGAUGUUAGUGCCCGGCUGCUCUGACCGCGAGCGGCUGGGUGUCGGUGCCCUGCUCUCCUCUGGGCGCCAGGAUGUUCCUGCCCAGUGCGUGUCCAGAAUAGCCGCUCAGACACCGGCUCCAGAGAACUAGGUAGCCUGUUCCCACUCAGAAACUCAUUCCACGUGGUUUGGGUGGUCCUACCACUGCCGUCACCCGCGUCAACAAAGGAGUGGGAACGGAACUCAGGCCCUGCCCAUCAGAUCAUCGAAUUCCUCUGGCCACAGUGAUUGGUUGUGAUCAGUUAGGAUCCUGCACUUGUGACUGAAAAAUCCUUGUACAGGAACCAACCUUCUGGAAACUUCUCCCAUGUGUCAGUCCUUGAUGACAAGGACCACAACCUGUGCUCUGUUUGCUGUCCCCACUGCCAUCACCAUCACACAGGCCCACAGCACCAAGCACUGGAUGAGACCAUCACACAGGCCCACAGCACCAAGCACUGGAUGAGACACAUCACAAAUCCCGGACAAACUCUUGCUGAAACCAUGACAUGUCGAUGGCCCUUCACAGAAGACUUCACAAAAGGCUUCCCAUAACCCUAUUAAUGGAAAAAGGCGACGUGGGGCAGAGUAUGCAGUUGUACCUGUUGAAAUAAACAUGCUCUUUGCAAUGAU